rfam:Pan troglodytes isolate Yerkes chimp pedigree #C0471 (Clint) chromosome 7, whole genome shotgun sequence.
UAUUAGGAUUUUUUUAAAUCCAUAAACAGACAUGAAAACAGUCACU